UUUCCGGUUGAUCCCGCCGGACCUGACUGCUAUCGGAUUGAUACUAAGCCAUGCGAGUCUUUGUAGUAAUACAAGGCAGACGGCUCAGUAACACGUAGUCAACCUACCCUAUGGACAAGAAUAAUCUCGGGAAACUGGGCAUAAUUCUUGAUAGAUCAUAAUGCCUGGAAUGGUUUAUGGUUAAAAUGAUUCGUCGCCAUAGGAUGGGACUGCGGCCUAUCAGCUUGUUGGUGAGGUAAUGGCCCACCAAGGCGAUUACAGGUACGGGCUCUGAGAGGAGAAGCCCGGAGAUGGGUACUGAGACACGGACCCAGGCCCUAUGGGGCGCAGCAGGCGAGAAAACUUUGCAAUGUGCGAAAGCACGACAAGGUUAAUCCGAGUGAUUUCUGCUAAAGAAAUCUUUUGCCAGUCAUAAAACCACUGGUGAAUAAGGGGUGGGCAAGUUCUGGUGUCAGCCGCCGCGGUAAAACCAGCACCUCAAGUGGUCAGGAUGAUUAUUGGGCCUAAAGCAUCCGUAGCCGGCUUUGUUAGUUUUCGGUUAAAUCCAUGUGCUCAACGCAUGGGCUGCCGAAAAUACUGCAUAGCUAGGGAGUGGGAGAGGUAGACGGUACUCAGUAGGAAGGGGUAAAAUCCUUUGAUCUAUUGAUGACCACCUGUGGCGAAGGCGGUCUACCAGAACACGUUCGACGGUGAGGGAUGAAAGCUGGGGGAGCAAACCGGAUUAGAUACCCGGGUAGUCCCAGCUGUAAACGAUGCAGACUCGAUGAUGCAUUGGCAUAAUAGCCAGUGCAGUGUCGCAGGGAAGCCGUUAAGUCUGCCGCCUGGGAAGUACGUACGCAAGUAUGAAACUUAAAGGAAUUGGCGGGGGAGCACCACAAGGGGUGAAGCCUGCGGUUCAAUUGGAGUCAACGCCGGA
rnacentral:rRNA from 1 species